UACGUAGGCAGCAAGCGUUGUUCGGAAUUACUGGGCGUAAAGAGUGUGUAGGCGGUGCUCCAAGUCUGGUGUGAAAUCUCCCGGCUUAACUGGGAGGGUGCAUUAGAAACUGGAAUGCUAGAGGAUGGGAGAGGUAAGCGGAAUUCCUGGUGUAGCGGUGAAAUGCUUAGAUAUCAGGAGGAACACCGGUGGCGAAGGCGGGUCUCUGGGCAGUAACUGACGCUGAGGAGCGAAAGCGUGGGGAGCGAACAGG
rnacentral:rRNA from 1 species